AUUUUGACACUUAUGACAUUUUUACUUUCGUCGACCGCACUAUGAAAACACAUUUGACAUAAAAUACAUCGUUUCUUCGUUCGGAUUUUAGCGUCAAUCUUACGAAAGCUCUAAGCCUUUCGUUUGAUUUUCGUUUGGUACUUCAGAGGUUUUAAAAUUGCUCAAUAACUCCUGUGUGCAGAAUUGUUGCAAUAGGAAAGUGCUGGGCGAAGUUGGAAGCGUCUCUAACUGCGUAAAACCUUCGGAACAUGGAAUUUGUAAGAACUUAUAGGACUUUGCCACCCCUUUUUGAAACCAUCUGCGAGGAUAUAGUUCCACUAAUUCCUCCAAAGAACAUAUACGGGAAAUUGAUACUACCACUAAGGAGUUGUUAGGGAGCUGUGGAACUAAGUAUAGAUGGGUCGAUGGCCCAGCAAACAGUCUCUGAGUGCCUCAGGCAAGUGUCUGAGUCAGCCUCAUAUAUUGACUAAAUUUAUAAAAUUUCCACAAAACCGACAAGAAAGGACUCUUAUUAAAGAACAAAUCAAAUAAUUAAACAACUACUAACUCGCUAAAGCUGCCAUAACCA